rnacentral:rRNA from 1 species
GACAGAGGGUGCAAACGUUGUUCGGAAUUACUGGGCGUAAAGCGUGUGUAGGCGGCUAGGUAAGUCGGAUGUGAAAGCCCCGGGCUCAACUCGGGAAGUGCACUCGAUACUGCUUAGCUAGAGUACCGGAGAGGUUGGUGGAAUUCUCGGUGUAGAGGUGAAAUUCGCAGAUAUCGGGAGGAACACCAAUGGCGAAGGCAGCUCGCUGGGACGGUACUGACGCUGAGACGCGAAAGCGUGGGGAGCAAACAGG